UCGUAACAAGGUUUCCGUAGGUGAACCUGCGGAAGGAUCAUUAAUUAUGUUAAAGCGCCUUACCUCUUAGGGUUUCCUCUGGGGUAAGUGAUUGCUUCUACACUGUGAAAAUUUGGCUGAGAGACUCAGACUGGUCAUGGGUAGACCUAUCUGGGGUUUGAUCGAUGCCACUCCUGGUUUCAGGAGCACCCUUCAUAAUAAACCUAGAAAUUCAGUAUUAUAAAGUUUAAUAAAAAACAACUUUUAACAAUGGAUCUCUUGGUUCUCGCAUCGAUGAAGAACGUAGCAAAGUGCGAUAACUAGUGUGAAUUGCAUAUUCAGUGAAUCAUCGAGUCUUUGAACGCAGCUUGCACUCUAUGGUUUUUCUAUAGAGUACGCCUGCUUCAGUAUCAUCACAAACCCACACAUAACAUUUGUUUAUGUGGUAAUGGGUCGCAUCGCUGUUUUAUUACAGUGAGCACCUAAAAUGUGUGUGAUUUUCUGUCUGGCUUGCUAGGCAGGAAUAUUACGCUGGUCUCAGGAUCUUUUUCUUUGGUUCGCCCAGGAAGUAAAGUACAAGAGUAUAAUCCAGCAACUUUCAAACUAUGAUCUGAAGUCAGGUGGGAUUACCCGCUGAACUUAAGCAUAUCAAUAA
rnacentral:misc_RNA from 1 species